CGCGUGUACUGGUCCGGCCGGGCCUUUCCCUCUGUGGAACCCCAUGCCCUUCACUGGGUGUGGCGGGGAAACAGGACUUUUACUGUGAAAAAAUUAGAGCGCUCCAGGCAGGCCUAUGCUCGAAUACAUUAGCAUGGAAUAAUAGAAUAGGACGUGUGGUUCUAUUUUGUUGGUUUCUAGGACCGCCGUAAUGAUUAAUAGGGACAGUCGGGGGCAUCAGUAUUCAAUUGUCAGAGGUGAAAUUCUUGGAUUUAUUGAAGACUAACUACUGCGAAAGCAUUUGCCAAGGAUGUUUUCAUUAAUCAGGAACGAAAGUUAGGGGAUCGAAGACGAUCAGAUACCGUCGUAGUCUUAACCAUAAACUAUGCCGACUAGGGAUCGGACGAUGUUAUAUUUUGACUCGUUCGGCACCUUACGAGAAAUCAAAGUGCUUGGGCUCCAGGGGGAGUAUGGUCGCAAGGCUGAAACUUAAAGAAAUUGACGGAAGGGCACCACCAGGGGUGGAGCCUGCGGCUUAAUUUGACUCAACACGGGGAAACUCACCAGGUCCAGACACAAUGAGGAUUGACAGAUUGAGAGCUCUUUCUUGAUUUUGUGGGUGGUGGUGCAUGGCCGUUCUUAGUUGGUGGAGUGAUUUGUCUGCUUAAUUGCGAUAACGAACGAGACCUUAACCUGCUAAAUAGCCCGUAUUGCUUUGGCAGUACGCUGGCUUCUUAGAGGGACUAUCGG
rnacentral:rRNA from 1 species